rnacentral:rRNA from 1 species
CAGCAGCCGCGGGAAUACGGAGGGUGCAAGCGUUAAUCGGAAUUACUGGUCGUAAAGCGCACGCAGGCGGUCUGUCAAGUCGGAUGUGAAAUCCCCGGGCUCAACUCGAAGUCUGCAUCGAAAACUGCCGGGCUUGAGUAUGGGAGAGGUGAGUGGAAUUUCCGGUGUAGCGGUGAAAUGCGUAGAUAUCGGAAGGAACACCUGUGGCGAAAGCGGCUCACUGGACCAUUACUGACGCUGAGGCGCGAAAGCUAGGGGAGCAAACAGGAUUAGAUACCCCGGUAGUCCCUGUCUCUUAUAC